rnacentral:rRNA from 1 species
AUUGAACGCUGGCGGCAUGCCUAACACAUGCAAGUCGAACGGUAACAGCAGGAGCUUGCUUCUGGCUGACGAGUGGCGGACGGGUGAGUAACGCGUAGGAAUCUGCCUGAUAGAUGGGGACAACUCAGGGAAACUUGAGCUAAUACCGAAUACGCCCUACGGGGGAAAGCGGGGGAUCUUCGGACCUCGCGCUAUCAGAUGAGCCUGCGUUGGAUUAGCUAGUUGGUAGGGUAAAGGCCUACCAAGGCGACGAUCCAUAGCUGGUCUGAGAGGACGAUCAGCCACACUGGGACUGAGACACGGCCCAG